rnacentral:rRNA from 1 species
UACGUAGGGGGCAAGCGUUGUCCGGAUUCAUUGGGCGUAAAGAGCGUGUAGGUGGCCAGGUAGGUCGGUUGUGAAAACUGGAGGCUCAACCUUCAGAGGUCGACCGAAACCAUCUGGCUAGAGUCCGGGAGAGGAGAGUGGAAUUCCUGGUGUAGCGGUGAAAUGCGCAGAUAUCAGGAAGAACACCCGUGGCGAAAGCGGCUCUCUGGAACGGUACUGACGCUGAGACGCGAAAGCGUGGGGAGCGAACAGG